ensembl:lncRNA
UUCACUGACUUCCACUUGCUUCUCCAGAGACGGCAGUCAGCCAUAUUUGUUACAUGAUGAGGGAAAACGUUGCACAUUGGGUUCAUGCACUUAGGAAGCUGCCACGGGAAGAGCCAGUGAUCAAACACUCAAAAUUUGUAGAUGUGCGGCAGAGGGCUGAAAGCGGCAUUGAAGAUGUCCUUUACUUUGUUGAAAGAGGAGCAUGACCACCUGGGUGAGGAGUUUUUAAAUGAUCAGACAAUGCCAACAACCUCCCUUCAGGAAGAAACGGAUAUGGAAAGCUUCUGGGCUGGAAUGGCAACCCGGAAACAUAAAGUGACAGGAGCCAAAGAAUUUCAGAGGCUUGCUGCCGUCGCCAAGCUGGUCCUGGUGUUGCCCCAUUCAGAUGCUGAUGCUGAGAGGGUGUUUUCAGUUGUGGGACUGAAUAAAACAAAAACCAGAAAUAGCCUGGCAUUGGAUGGCACCCUGUCCUCCAUCAUGGCCAUAAAGAUGGCCGACCAGGAGCCCUGCUUCAGAUGGGAGCCCCCUCAGCGGUCAUCAAGGCCUCCAAGAAGG